rnacentral:rRNA from 1 species
UCGAGAAUCUUCGGCAAUGGGCGCAAGCCUGACCGAGCGACGCCGCGUGCAGGAAGAAGGCCUUCGGGUUGUAAACUGCUGUCAGUGGGGAGUAAUCACUGAACUAUCCACAGAGGAAGCACGGGCUAAGUUCGUGCCAGCAGCCGCGGUAAGACGAACCGUGCGAACGUUGUUCGGAAUCACUGGGCUUAAAGGGCGCGUAGGCGGGCGGUCAAGUCGGAGGUGAAAUCCCCCAGCUCAACUGGGGAAGUGCCCCCGAUACUGAUUGUCUCGAGGAAGGUAGGGGCACGUGGAACUUCCGGUGGAGCGGUGAAAUGCGUAGAGAUCGGAAGGAACACCGGUGGCGAAGGCGACGUGCUGGACCUUUUCUGACGCUGAGGCGCGAAAGCCAGGGUAGCGAAGAGGAUUAGAUACCCCCGUAGUCC